GUUCAAAUGUUCCACACUGGAGUUCCUCUCAUGUCUUUAUUGGUGAUACUGUACAACAACUACACGUUAACCCAAGGACAAAAAAAGACAACUCAUAGAUACUUCAAUAAUACAUAAAACAAUAAGAAAUGCAAUAUUGUGGUUGACUGGUGUGUCGUAUUGGCAAUAAGGUAAAUACAUGAAGCUGUUUGGACAGGAUUUAGAUGCAUAUGUCCACAUAGAAGUAACUGUACUAGAAUCACGGCAGAGUAACCUGUCAAUCACAGUAAACACAUCCUGGUGUCGUUGACGCUAAUAGAGCAUCAUAUGAUCAACCAGAGAUUGAGUCCACCAUGUUUACGUCAUGGACUUAGAGGAAGGCGGGGAGACGUGUCCAUGAGAGGCAGGAGGGCCGCAUGGCGUCAGAAGGCGCGCCUGCUCUACCGUAUGGGGUCUAGUGUAUGGGGUCUACUCUAUGGGGUCUACUAUAUGGGGUCUAGUGUAUGGGGUCUACUCUAUGGGGUCUACUGUAUAGGGUCUACUGUAUGAGGUCUACUGUAUAGGGUCUACUGUAUGGGGUCUACUGUAUGAGGUCUACUCUAUGGGGUCUACUGUAUGGGGUCUACUGUAUGAGGUCUACUGUAUGAGGUCUACUCUAUGGGGUCUACUGUAUGAGGUCUACUGUAUGGGGUCUACUAUAAGGGGUCUACUGUAUGGGGUCUACUGUAUGAGGUCUACUGUAUGGGGUCUACUGUAUGGGGUCUACUGUAUGGGGUCUACUGUAUGAGGUCUACUGUAUGGGGUCUACUGUAUGGGGUCUACUGUAUGGGGUCUACUGUAUGAGGUCUACUGUAUGGGACCUUUGGGGAGAGAGACAAAGGCAGCACCUGCUGUGGAGCAGCGGUGAGUCUCUCCUGAGAACAUGAGAUGAAUGAUAAUAAUCUGCAUUAACUUUCUUGCUAAAUACAGAUGACAAACACGUAGAGCUCCUUGUGCGACAGAUAGACUUCAGAACAUGUUUAUCAAACAGGCGGUGAGCCAAGGCCAAGCCAGCCAUGGUUCAUUGGACAACUACAAGACUUUGCCCAAAUUACAUGGCACAAGCCAGGCCGGUUGCCAGGCCGGUUGCCAGGCGGGCAGCUGGCAUCAGCUGCGUCAUUGUCUUUGAUCGCGGCGAGAGGAGAAGGCUCAUUCUUCUACGUCCUCUCAGCCUUCAGCUCACACGUCCGCGUCGACACCGCCAAGGAAAGAAAGUGGGGCACAAACAAGGGGGACAGUUUGGCUGGAAACGGCCGCGCCACGUCCAUCGGCUCAUGAGACGAGGGACUUCCUGAGGGGACGAUUCCGGCCACACUAUGACGUCAUGUGCACACCACCUUUUAUAUUUCCACCAUGUUUUCAUGCUAACGCUAGACCCGAUCCAGAGGGGCCACGUGUCACUCAAAUGAGACAAUAACAUCACACCCGGACGUAUUAAAGUGUCAAUAUGUCACACAGACACACCUCUCGUGCUCAGUGUGACGCAUUCAUGAGGAGGUUCUUUCCAGGGAACUGAUAACAUCA
ensembl:lncRNA